rnacentral:rRNA from 1 species
GACGAACGCUGGCGGCGUGCUUAACACAUGCAAGUCGAACGGAAAGGCCCUGCUUUUGUGGGGUGCUCGAGUGGCGAACGGGUGAGUAACACGUGAGUAACCUGCCCUUUACUUUGGGAUAACUUCAGGAAACUGGGGCUAAUACCGGAUAUGAGCUCCUGCUGCAUGGUGGGGGUUGGAAAGGUUCGGCGGUUGGGGAUGGACUCGCGGCUUAUCAGCUUGUUGGUGGGGUAGUGGCUUACGAAGGCUUUGACGGGUAGCCGGCCUGAGAGGGUGACCGGCCACAUUGGGACUGAGAUACGGCCCAGACUACUACGGGAGGCAGCAGUGGGGAAUAUUGCACAAUGGGCGGAAGCCUGAUGCAGCAACGCCGCGUGCGGGAUGACGGCCUUCGGGUUGUAAACCGCUUUCGCCUGUGACGAAGCGUGAGUGACGGUAAUGGGUAAAGAAGCACCGGCUAACUACGUG